UCAAAACUCCUCAAAAAACUUAUUUUUUUCUUUUUCAAAGAAUCAGUCGUAGCAGGGGGCGCAGUAUUACACGCGCUUCACUGCGCGAUUGUGACGAAAAGGGAGCUGAGCCGGAUGGCAAAGCUCUCGAUCUAGUGGUAGUGCAGUUUUCUCCGCAGGGUAGCUGGGGUCUCCCUCAGAAUUAGGGUGAGAAGCUCAGCCGUCUGUGAGGGACUCGGAGUAGAGCUGCUGCUCCUUUGCGUCGAAAGGAGCCAGUUGAGGUAGUUCAGCAUCUGAUGAGGAUGCCACCAGGGCGCCUUCCUAGGGAGGUGUUCCUGGCACAUCCAACUGGGAGGAGACCAAGGGGUAGACCCAGGACCAGGUGGAGGGAUUACAUCUCCUCUCUGGCCUGAGAGCGCCUGGGGAUUCCCCAGUCAGGGUUAGCCGAUUUGGCCAGGGGAAAGGGAAGUUAGGGGGCUCGCUACUGAAGCUGCAGCCCCCGCAAUCCAACUCCGGGUUGGCUUCGCAUCGAGGGUACAGAACUGCUUCAUGUUUCUGACUGCGUCCCUGCCGAAGCAGAAGGACGGUUGAAGUCAAAGAGAGGAGCAGCGGCUGGUCAAUGAGGCGGCACUGUCGACAAAUCUCUGCAGAGUCACUCUUUGGAAUGGACAAAACGAGAGAAGGGAGUAAAGACAUGGUGAGAAACUGCCGAUAGAGACAGAAGAUCAGAGAUCACAGGUAAGCGUACCUGUCAACCUUGAGACCUCAGAAUUAAGGAGGAUUUUGGAACCAAAGCAGGAGAGUCACACCACUGCCCUACAGCUUCUUCUGAUGAUUGACCCAGUAGGAUCCCUGUGAUUAACAGAAAAUGUAGAUGUGGCUGAUUAUACAAAACGCAUGCCCCCUUCCUUUAAAAUCUUCCGUGCGAAAUGGGAAUUCUUCUCUUCGGGACAUCUGAAUUUAUUUAAGCAUUUCUUUCUCAUUUCCAUUUUGGUAAGUGUGUCUCUCAGUGGGGAGGAUGAGUACAGUAGACUUCAUGCUGUACAGUGACAGAAACAAGUUAGGAUGACUGAAAAGGGGGAAAAGGUGUGAACAUGUGUCAUAAAUCGGGUGAAAUGCAGGAGAACUGUGAACCCGGGAGGAAACCAGGAAACGGCAAUGAAACCCUCCAUACUUGUCAGACCUCCCCGAGAGGGAUGACCUGAACAGUGACGUGUGAGGCUCUCAAAACCACAUGUAAAACCAAGCAAUCAAACUCUGGUGUAGUUUAGAAAAAAAGGCAGAGAUGAUGUUAGCGACAGCAGUCUUUCUCAAGUUGAGGAAUCAGAGGGCCCAAAAAUAACUCCAUCAAACAACAAGCAGCACCGUAUGGAGCACGUACUGAAUAAACAGGAUGAUUUGUGGAGAGUGUGCAGGUGAAUACAGCUCAUCUAUCUUCAAAGAUGGAAUGUGAAGAUGCUGAGAAAAAAGCCAGGCGGAUGGCUGAUAGCUAAGCUGUCCACAGAUGUUCAGUACCUACAUUU